AGCAGCCGCGGUAAUUCCAGCUCCAAUAGCGUAUAUUAAAGUUGUUGCAGUUAAAAAGCUCGUAGUUGAAUUUCGGGAUCAAUACGUCGGUCGUGCUUUCGGGUACGUACUGGCGUCAUUUGGUUUCCUUCCUUUCUGACGAGCCAUGAUGUCUAUUUAA
rnacentral:rRNA from 1 species